rnacentral:rRNA from 1 species
GACGAACGCUGGCGGCGUGCUUAACACAUGCAAGUCGAGCGGUAAGGCCCUUUCGGGGGUACACGAGCGGCGAACGGGUGAGUAACACGUGGGUGACCUGCCCUCAGCUCUGGGAUAAGCCUGGGAAACCGGGUCUAAUACUGGAUAUGACUCCAUGACGCAUGUUGUGGGGUGGAAAGCCUUGUGCGGCCGAGGAUGGGCCCGCGGCCUAUCAGCUUGUUGGUGGGGUGAUGGCCUACCAAGGCGACGACGGGUAGCCGGCCUGAGAGGGCGACCGGCCACACUGGGACUGAGACACGGCCCAGACUCCUACGGGAGGCAGCAGUGGGGAAUCUUGCGCAAUGGGCGAAAGCCUGACGCAGCGACGCCGCGUGAGGGAUGACGCCUGUGU